rnacentral:snRNA from 1 species
ACACAUUUCCCAGUUGUUGGCUAAGAUCAAUUGCAUCACCUGUUCUUAUCACUUCAAUAUCUGAUACAUCCACAGCUUUAAGAUUUGAUAUUAAAUGGAUUUGGAAGGCACAGGAAAGACUAGCAGCUUCUUCCAUCCAUUCCAUGCAUCAGCCUGAAACUGGAGUGCUUCCAGGUACUGUGGCUGCAUCA